GUCACCGUCUGUGCCCAAUUCCCCUGCAAGACUGAGGAAGACGAAGACUGAAAUCACCCUUUGUACUCAUGCCCUCCCCAGGAACAGUUUAGUGAAGUGGUGGAGACAGAAGCUGCCUGUAGCUGAUUCGAAAGAGAAUACGAAAUAAGGACUUUGGGACAGAGAACAAAAUACUCUCUGGAGAACGAGAGAUGAAGAAAUGGAGCUACGGAAGGAUGAGCCCAUGCAGUAAAGGAAGCAUUUUUUUUCCCCAGGAUGGGAGAUAUUAUACCAUACUUGUAAGAAGGACAGACGGAUGCGACAGAUGGAGCGUGUGACGGGCAGAGUGUCUGGGAGAGCAAACACAGGUGGCCAACAAGGUGAUUCAGGGACCCAGGGCCCUUCCACAUAUUGGCUGCUCCAAAUACUCCAUUGGCCGCUCUGAGUCUGGCCUGGAGAUGAGGGGAGAGAGAUCACCAGCAGAGAAUCUCAGGGACAAGUUCAGAGGCCACGUGCAAUGCUACAUACAUUCAAUUGGCCAGAGGAAGACACUGAUUUGGAGAAGACAAGUAACUGUCCUGAGGCCGCACAGGAAGCAAGCAAGUUUCUAAAGCCUCUUUGACAACUCUUUCUACUGCAACAUAAUAGCUGCCUUUUAUUGUUAUGAAUACAGUUUUAAAGCCCUCUACAGACCAGUCACUGGCAAACAAGGAAUCAGACAAAUAUUGAAAACCUUGUGGACACAGUUCAGUCAAAAAAGUGGAUAUUCCUCAGGAAAAUAUAAUAAUUAUCAUAUUUUUCAUGAUUAAGGCACGGUUCUAAAAUUUCUCCUAGACCCUCUUCUAUGAGAAUUUAUAGCAUAGCUAAAUAUCAAUAACCCCACAAUACUAGGUUUAUGUUUUAAAUGCAAGAUAGAAUGCAAAAGCAGAUGGGAUGCCACGUAUCCAAGACAACUUGAUCCAUUUCCCAAAUCAACAGCCCUCAAAUGCCUCAUUACCAACCCAUUUGCAAGUUUCCCCCAGACAUGACAACUCAGGAAACCUGAAACCCCAACCAAUUUGGAUGGGAUUUCUAGGUCAAACCCUGAAUCCUUUCGUUAUUUUCUCUCUGCCAUCACAAAGUACACAAAAAAAUGUCUGGGUCUUUUUAUGAUACGAGCCCAGAACCAUUUCCAACCUACCCAAAAUGGCAUUCCACAUGGUAACUUGAGUGGAGUGAAAGAGAUGGCAGAGAAAUUAGUCAUGCCUCAAACAGCAAGCUAAAGACCUCCUACCCUGCAAUUUGGGCUUUACUUAAGGUCCUACAGAAAGAGCUGCAUUCAGGAGCUUGGGUGGUCCCACAUUGGCAGGGGCUAGGGGGAAAGUGAAGCAAUGCAUGAGGCAGAGAAGACAGGCCUACAGAACUAAAUGCAACUAUGACACCAACACAUCAGCCAAUAUCCACCCCUUUCUGUUGUAAUGCAUGCUCUUUUAAAUGUAGUGAUUUGUUCCUGGCCAAAAUGUCACAAAACAUGUUCUUCCAUUCUUGAGUUUUCCAUUCAGAACACUGUGUCCUAAAGGAGACUAGUUUCCACAGUGAAAAAUAAUUGGGUAUGGCCAUGUGAAUGAAAGAAAAAUCAUUUAAAUCUCUUUUCUUCUACUCAUAAAUUAACAAAGUUUCAACAUGUAGCAUAAAAAAGUAACAGGACAAGAACAGUCAGUACACAAAGGAAAAAAUACGAACAGCCAACUGUAUUAAUAGCCAAAGAAAUGCUAAACAAACCAAUAGUAUUUUCACCUAUCGUAUUGGCAAAAAAUUUUAAAUAAGUUAAAAUAUCUAGUGUUAUUUCGGAUAUGAGGAAACAGAUUCUCAUUAACUGCUAAUAAAAGUGCAAAUUGAUAAAAUGUGUCUGGAAAGUAAUGUGGAAAUUUAUCAAAAAGAUUUAACACAUGCAUGGAAGAACUUCUGAGUCAAAGAAUAUGAUCUAUUUUGACAUUAUCCAUCAGAAAAUGUGUAAGGCUUUAUGCUUCAAUCAGAACAGAGAGCUGAUUGGUUGGAUGGCUAUUCUUUGGUCAGUGACAUACUGUACUACUUGUAAAAUAUUUUGAUUAUCACCCCUGAAUAUGCCAGCACUCAUUUGAAUGUAUCUCCCAUACUAGAUAUUGGUGUAUUUUUAAAAAAUUAGUGAUGUGGUAAGAGGUAAAUGUUAUCACUCUGAUUUAAUUUUCAUUAUGUAAUUGUUGGUAAUAUUGAACAUGUUUUCAUAUAUUUAUUCAACACUGUAAUUUUUAUGGAGAACUGUGAAUUUCUUUUUCUACUCCCCUUUUCUGUUAGAGGAAUUAUAGCAAGUAAGGUAGGUUUGGGGAAAGAUAUGACAAUUUUUCAUUCUUUGGUUGUGACAAACUGGUGAAUGAACUAAAUAACAGAACCAUAACUAAUGAAUUAUUACCUGCCCAAAAAAGGGUUGUCAUGGUCUUAGAUACUGAAAACAUUCCAAACAUUUUUGGUUUUUGGUUUUAUUGUAUAUGCUGUUUUUAAACAAGAUUUCUCAUCUUAAUUAUUUUGUUCUCGGCUCAAAUGAACAGCAGUCUGGAACCACUGAACACACAUCAGCCAACAUGGGAAGCAGACAUCUGGCCCAGGAGAGAAAUCAAAACAGGAAGGUAAAAUUCACCCCAGUUAGUUCAUAAAAUCAAAAAUGUCCGCACGAAAGAUAAAAUACCAUCUUCUCGUUCUGCAACUUUAGUCUUUCACUCAAAUAGCAGGAUGCAAAUUCUCAUACUUCAAGAUUUAUAUAUCCCAUAGCUCAAGACAGACAAAUGACCAGAUGACAGUUUCAUAGCAUAAUACCCAUUGUCAGCUACUAGUUAAAAAUUAACUCAUGGCAAAUUCAUGUCAUAUAUCUGGAAGAAAACUGCUUAAGUUUUCUUUAAAGCAUCCUUGAGAACAAGCUUCUGGCAUGAAAAUGGAAAAUAGGUUGAAGAAUAUUAAUAAAUGUUAAUAAAACUUGUAAAGUACUAAAGUAUAGAAAAAUUGGGUGGGAAAUUUUUUUGCUCUGAAAAACAGCUUGAAUUGCUUGUCCCUUAAAACUCCAUAGAUGAUUUCCAUAUUCACAUCUGUAUAUGUCAUGCCAGAAAAGGAUGAAAGGGAGAAAGAAGAGGAACGUUAAGUGUCUGGGAAGGAACAGGAAAGCCUGAUGUGCUUCAGGGAUUCAGGUUUUACACCAUACAUAGUCGAGAUGUUACUCUUACCAGAGAUAGAUCAUCGAGUCUUCCUCUUAUUUACAUAGAUACACUAUCGUGGAAGAUUUUCCCAAUUAAACUUAGGGUUUCUUUUCAGUAUUCCUUCAAUAUAUCUGACAAAUCCACAACUGAUAUAAAAUUUCAGAUGGAAAUGCUUCUAUAAACAUGCCACGUUUUCCCUCUCUUCUCCGAUUUCUAGAUACUUAGACUUGUGCCUUAAUCGCUUAAUAACAACUCAAACAACAAAGACCACAAUACCAUACAGGGGAAAUAAUGAUUUGAGAAACAAAAAUUGCUAAAGAGCAGAACUGACUUUCAUGUUUAUUUAAGGACUUUCCAUGGAACAAUGAUUUUUUUUUUAAAUUAAGUUCUUAUCUCCUUUAUUAUGAGAGUUUCCUGGAAGAAUUACAGUUGGGAAAGUGGCCACUUUCUUAUGAUUAAGCUCAGUCGUUCACUGCAGCAUGCUGCGAUCAUUAGGGCUUGUAAAAUCCCUUUUGCAGAUUUGCAAGGAGGCUAAAUUACAUUAUCUCCAUCAGAGUUUAUGUACCUAAAGAUGAAAGAUAGACUCAUUGAACUCAUAGAGUUGCAGAGUUCAGUGGAAUUCGGUUAUAGAACUACUACUGCUAACAACGAAAUACUGUAAGACUUCUAUUUUCAAUAUUACUGUUAACAGCAAAGCUAGAAAGAAACUUUCAGAUAAUCUAUGUAAAUAAAAUAUCCCUCAUAAAAAUUCACAGAAAAUGACUUUUCUUUUUAUGAUCCAUAUUCCACAUGUAAACUACUGUGAUAAAAUCUUCUAUGAAAAGAAGUAAAAUUAUUUUUAUAUUUCUUAUGUUUUAUUUGGCUCUUACGUAGUCUAAUAUAUGGAUCAUUGAUCAAAGUUUUUAUUUUUAAUCCAAAUAUUUUUUAUCAUGUAGUCACAGUAUAAAUUUUGAUUAUUAAUUUUUAGCAUAUCGGAAAACGAGGAAGAAAAGAAUUUGAAAAAUUAAAAAAAAAAUCGACUUUUGCAAUUGAAAUGCUGCAAAACUUAUUUAACUCCUUUAGAGCUUACUGAAUUUAUUCAUUUCCCAUUCCUUUGCAAAAAAAAAAAAAAUGAUAAAGUAGAUACAGAGAAUUUAAGAUAACUAAAUUUAUAAAGAAAAUUUGAAAACAGAUUAAGAGAAAAUGAUACUGAAAACAGUAACCAGUACUUUCAACAAGACAUGAUAACACAUAAAACCUGGUUCUUAACCUCAAGGAACCAAAUGUAGUGGAAACCAACACCUUUUUCCUUUUCCCGCUGGACGUACAGCUACAGUAUGUUUCCCACCCACCCUUGCACUGAGAGUAGUCAGGUGACUGAGUCCUGACCAGUGAAAUCUGGACCACAGAGAUGUGCAACGCUUCCAUGCCUGGCCUUUCCCCAUCUGCAAGAUGAAUGGACCCUACUGUAGGACUUAAGAGAGGAUGGACCAGCAAGCUAGAAGGAGCCUGAGUUUUCAAGUGACCACAUAGAAGGUGACCUACAGCCAGAAACACACACGUCAGCAUUUGUGUGAAUGAGAAAUAAUUCUUAUUGCAUUAAGCUGCUGAGAUUUUGGAGUUUAUCACUUAGCAUAAUCAAUUCAGUGAAGCAAAGAGAAACUUUAAAAUGUUAAUAAUUUUACUUCAAUACACACAUACAUACACAUAAACACAAAUGAUAUCAUGCAUAAUUGGAGAAAUCUGAACAAGCUCUGUGGGUUGUACCAAUGUCAAUUUCUUGGUAUCCUUAUCGUACUAUAGUUAUACGAUAUGUUAACUUUGGGGGAAUCUAAGGGGAAAAGUGUAGAGACCAUCCUGUACAUUUAUUUGCAACUUCCUGUAUAUCUAUAAUUAUGUCAAAAUAAUUUAAAAAUGUCCCUUGAUUAGAGGCAAAAAAUUGUAUCAAAUAUUUAGGGAAAACCAAAUCUGAUUAUUCUUAAUUGUUUAUUAUGUAGGUACAAACGAGGUAUUUAUAUCAUUAAAAAGGUUGUAGAACAUGGAAAAUGUCAAAGUGGAAAUUAUAUGUCUAAUUCUUAUAGUAACUUUUCGUAAAAACUGGAAGACAAUAAAAGUUGAAGCAUUAUUUGGUAAAGAUGAUUUGAUAAUGAUCUAAUAUGAUAUGGUCCAAAAGUAUAAAUGCCUAU